rnacentral:rRNA from 1 species
AUGUGUUAUGCCAUUUGGGGGAAGGUUGUGGUGUUUGGAGGGGAUUUUAGGCAGGUCCUUCCCAUGGCCCCGCGUGGGACAAGAGCACAAAUCACUGACGCCACGCUGCAAAGAUCAUAUCUAUGGGAGAGAAUUAGACAAAUACGCCUCACGCAUAAUAUGAGAGCACAGACUGACCCAUGGUUCUCCAAAUACCUCUUGAGAAUUGGCAAUGGAACAGAGGAGGCGAUCGGUGAUGAUUAUGUGCGUCUGCCUGAUGACAUUGUGAUAGGUUACACACCUGGUGACGCACCAGUCAUGAAGCUUAUUGAACACGUGUUCCCAUCUCUUCAUGAGAACGCAUCAUCCGGUGCCUACAUGAGCACACGUGCUAUUCUUUCUACCAAGAAUGAGCACGUGGACAACCUAAAUGCAAAGAUGAUUGACAGAUUUACCGACCAAGAAAAGGUAUACUAUAGCUUUGAUUCUGUCGAUGAUGAUACACGCAAUAACUACCCAAUUGACUAUAUGAACAACCUCACUCCAAAUGGCUUGCCUCCCCAUAUUUUGAAAGUUAAAGUUAAUUGUCCUGUCAUUCUGCUCCGGAAUCUCGAUCCUAAUAAUGGACUUUGCAAUGGAACGAGAUUGAUGAUUAGAGCUUUCCAAAAUAACGCAAUCGACGCGGAGAUUGUUGGUGGACAACAUGCUGGAAAGAGAGUGUUCAUCCCUAGGAUCCCGAUGGCACCCUCGGAGGAUAUUUCACUUCUUUCAAGUUGA